GAUGAACGCUGGCGGCGUGCCUAAUACAUGCAAGUCGAGCGAACAGACGAGGAGCUUGCUCCUCUGACGUUAGCGGCGGACGGGUGAGUAACACGUGGAUAACCUACCUAUAAGACUGGGAUAACUUCGGGAAACCGGAGCUAAUACCGGAUAAUAUAUUGAACCGCAUGGUUCAAUAGUGAAAGGCGGUUUUGCUGUCACUUAUAGAGGGAUCCGCGCCGCAUUAGCUAGUUGGUAAGGUAACGGCUUACCAAGGCAACGAUGCGUAGCCGACCUGAGAGGGUGAUCGGCCACACUGGAACUGAGACACGGUCCAGACUCCUACGGGAGGCAGCAGUAGGGAAUCUUCCGCAAUGGGCGAAAGCCUGACGGAGCAACGCCGCGUGAGUGAUGAAGGCCUUCGGAUCGUAAAACUCUGUUAUUAGGGAAGAACAAAUGUGUAAGUAACUAUGCACGUCUUGACGGUACCUAAUCAGAAAGCCACGGCUAACUACGUG
rnacentral:rRNA from 1 species